UCCUGACCUUCGCCGGCGGUGUGGGCCGGGCCGGGCGGCCGAGUGCGGGGCCGGUGUAGCGCGGCAGGGAUCAUGUCGGCCCCGACCAUGGAGGAGAGGAAAGCGUGCUGGGCGGCACGCGACGAGUUCUGGCGGUGCCUGGACGGGCACACGGAGGACGCGCCGCGGUGCGAGAAGCUGAGGAGGUCUUUCGAGUCCUUGUGUCCGCAGCAGUGGGUUAAAUACUUUGACAAAAGAAGGGAUUUUUUAAAAUACAAAGAAAAGCUGGAAUCUGAAGGGUUUCAACCUCCAGAAACUGCUGGAAAGUCUUAGGUACUGCGCUUAUUCAAGUGCAUCUACAUAGCACAAGAUCUGUGGCAGGAAGGAGCAGCCAAAAGCAACACUUCCUCUGGAGUUCAAGAACUGAUCAGCAGAGCUCCACUUACAUGAACGUUGAGUGACCGAAUAAUGCCCUGCUGAGGAAUUUCCACACAGACAUCCAGGUGGUGAAUCAGGUUUGCUGGGAUUCCUUCAUGUUCAUUCCUAGUGAAGAAGAAACAGUGAUUAUGUCUGGGAGAAGACAGGUGUUCCAGAAAGCAGAAGAUGUGAGAGUCACAAUAGCAAUGAAAUACUGUUUGAAAAAUUGUCAGCCCUUAAAUAUGAGCACAAGUUGUUACUUUCUGUAAAGCAAUAAUGUAUUGCUGAAACAAAAAUAAAACUGAAUGGACAACAUGAA